GAUGAACGCUGACAGAAUGCUUAACACAUGCAAGUCGAUGGGGAAGUGGUGCUUGCACCAUGGCAACCAUGGCGGACGGGUGAGUAACGCGUAAGGGACUUACCUGCAGGACUGGGAUAACAGGGGGAAACUCCUGACAAGACCGGAUAAUGUCAUGGAGCUGCAUGGCUUUAUGAUGAAAGGAGACGCCUGCGGAGAGCCUUGCGUCCUAUUAGCUAGUUGGUGAGGUGAUGGCUCACCAAGGCGAAGAUAGGUAGCCGGCCUGAGAGGGUGGACGGCCACAAGGGGACUGAGAUACGGCCCUUACUCCUACGGGAGGCAGCAGUGGGGAAUAUUGGACAAUGGGGGCAGCCCUGAUCCAGCAAUUCUGUGUGCACGAAGAAGGUUUUCGGAUUGUAAAGUGCUUUCAGCAGGGAAGAAGUAAGUGACGGUACCUGCAGAAGAAGCGACGGCUAAAUACGUG
rnacentral:rRNA from 1 species